AUGAGGCCGGACGAGGCUAAAGGAAUUAACAGGGGAGUUAAUCCUGUUAAAUUGGAGGCGAAAUUUGAGGAACUCCAGGCUUAUUUCUUGCGGGGGGGUCGGCUCUGUUUUCUUCAGUCUACAGUGUUCUGCUCCAUACCGGUUUCUUCUGUUGCUCUGUACUUUCUGUCCAUGGCAGGCCAAGGCGAGGAUCAAGGUCGAGGAAUGAUGAACCUGACCAUUGCUGGGUCGGGUGAUGGUGGUGCUGGGUCCAGAACCCCUGAGGAAGGGCCGGCCGCAAUGCAGCCAACGGCGACCCCAGCCACGCCCACGGUCGGAAAGGGAAGGAGUGAUGUCGGGGGUCCGUCAGGCCUAGCCCUGACCACUCCCCUGAACCCCUCUGUUGGCUUCACUUCUGCUUCGGAGCGCCCUCCUCCUCUCCGCAGGCAUGGCAAGGCCAAGAUGGUCGAGUUCGAUGACUCGCCAAUCGUCAUCGACAUGGAGGCAAUGGUGAGUGCGGUCAAGGGAAAGCUGGCUGUGGGACGAGUGCUCUCCCCGUACCCAGCCAAUCCUUCGGCCGUCGUCAACGAGCUCAAAGGACCCUGGCGGCUUCGUGGUGAUGCGAGGGCCCAGAUGGUCACGAGCAUCGACAAACGCUUCGUGGUGGAGUUCACGGAGGAGGGGGAUCGGCAGCAUGUCCUGGCUGCUGGUCCUUGGCACUUCCACAACGACGCCGUCAUCUUCGCCGACUUCGACGGCCAGGGCAACCCAGCGGAGGUCGACCUCAACUCCAUCAGAUUGUGGGCACAAAUCCACAAGCUGCCCUUCGUGUUGAAGACCGAGGAGAUGGGGUGGACUUUCGGCAAGAAGCUCGGCAAGGUCAUCGCGGUGUCCCACCGGAACAAGAUGAUCCUUGACGAGCAUCUCCGCAUUCGAGUGGAGCAUAAGGUGGACACGCCGCUGAAGAAGGAAGUUGGGUUCACUCCGGUCGGCAGCAAGGACGAGAUCACGUUUAAGGUGAAAUACGAGAAACUUCCAAAUUUUUGUUUCUGUUGUGGCAUCCUGGGCCACACUACGGAAAGAUUCUGCAGCAUGCCAAAGGAACUGCGCAAGCCAAACUUCUCCAUCGACAUGAAGGCGCCGCCGCACUGGAAGCGCUUCCUCGACUUCGGAAGCACCGGGGCAAAGUUGUCGGACAGAGUCAUUUCGGCGGUUUCCAAGGCUGUGCGCAACCUUUCAGUGGCUGCGGCAGGCUCGGGUCCUUCUUCAGAUGUUGCGGGAAAGGUGGCGGGGGAUGCGGGUACCCAGGAGGGGUUGCCGGCGCCCCCGAACCAGUUGGUGGCAAGCCAAGUUGAUCAUCCUCAACUUCAUGUGCCUAGGGGGGCCUCAACAUCAACCUGGUCACCCCUGGGUCAUCUCCUGCAGAUGGAGGUGGACACAAGAGGAAUUUGGAUGAUCCUGCUAGGGCCUCUAUGGCUCUGA
rnacentral:rRNA from 1 species